rnacentral:rRNA from 1 species
GGGUUGUGAGGUUAAGCGACUAAGCGUACACGGUGGAUGCCCUGGCAGUCAGAGGCGAUGAAGGACGUGCUAAUCUGCGAUAAGCGUCGGUAAGGUGAUAUGAACCGUUAUAACCGGCGAUUUCCGAAUGGGGAAACCCAGUGUGUUUCGACACACUAUCAUUAACUGAAUCCAUAGGUUAAUGAGGCGAACCGGGGGAACUGAAACAUCUAAGUACCCCGAGGAAAAGAAAUCAACCGAGAUUCCCCCAGUAGCGGCGAGCGAACGGGGAGGAGCCCAGAGCCUGAAUCAGUGUGUGUGUUAGUGGAAGCGUCUGGAAAGGCGCGCGAUACAGGGUGACAGCCCCGUACACAAAAAUGCACAUACUGUGAGCUCGAUGAGUAGGGCGGGACACGUGGUAUCCUGUCUGAAUAUGGGGGGACCAUCCUCCAAGGCUAAAUACUCCUGACUGACCGAUAGUGAACCAGUACCGUGAGGGAAAGGCGAAAAGAACCCCGGCGAGGGGAGUGAAAAAGAACCUGAAACCGUGUACGUACAAGCAGUGGGAGCCUCUUUUAUGGGGUGACUGCGUACCUUUUGUAUAAUGGGUCAGCGACUUAUAUUCUGUAGCAAGGUUAACCGAAUAGGGGAGCCGAAGGGAAACCGAGUCUUAACUGGGCGUUAAGUUGCAGGGUAUAGACCCGAAACCCGGUGAUCUAGCCAUGGGCAGGUUGAAGGUUGGGUAACACUAACUGGAGGACCGAACCGACUAAUGUUGAAAAAUUAGCGGAUGACUUGUGGCUGGGGGUGAAAGGCCAAUCAAACCGGGAGAUAGCUGGUUCUCCCCGAAAGCUAUUUAGGUAGCGCCUCGUGAAUUCAUCUCCGGGGGUAGAGCACUGUUUCGGCAAGGGGGUCAUCCCGACUUACCAACCCGAUGCAAACUGCGAAUACCGGAGAAUGUUAUCACGGGAGACACACGGCGGGUGCUAACGUCCGUCGUGAAGAGGGAAACAACCCAGACCGCCAGCUAAGGUCCCAAAGUCAUGGUUAAGUGGGAAACGAUGUGGGAAGGCCCAGACAGCCAGGAUGUUGGCUUAGAAGCAGCCAUCAUUUAAAGAAAGCGUAAUAGCUCACUGGUCGAGUCGGCCUGCGCGGAAGAUGUAACGGGGCUAAACCAUGCACCGAAGCUGCGGCAGCGACACUAUGUGUUGUUGGGUAGGGGAGCGUUCUGUAAGCCUGUGAAGGUGUGCUGUGAGGCAUGCUGGAGGUAUCAGAAGUGCGAAUGCUGACAUAAGUAACGAUAAAGCGGGUGAAAAGCCCGCUCGCCGGAAGACCAAGGGUUCCUGUCCAACGUUAAUCGGGGCAGGGUGAGUCGACCCCUAAGGCGAGGCCGAAAGGCGUAGUCGAUGGGAAACAGGUUAAUAUUCCUGUACUUGGUGUUACUGCGAAGGGGGGACGGAGAAGGCUAUGUUGGCCGGGAGACGGUUGUCCCGGUUUAAGCGUGUAGGCUGGUUUUCCAGGCAAAUCCGGAAAAUCAAGGCUGAGGCGUGAUGACGAGGCACUACGGUGCUGAAGCAACAAAUGCCCUGCUUCCGGGGAAAAGCCUCUAAGCAUCAGGUAACAUCAAAUCGUACCCCAAACCGACACAGGUGGUCAGGUAGAGAAUACCAAGGCGCUUGAGAGAACUCGGGUGAAGGAACUAGGCAAAAUGGUGCCGUAACUUCGGGAGAAGGCACGCUGAUAUGUAGGUGAAGCGACUUGCUCGUGGAGCUGAAAUCAGUCGAAGAUACCAGCUGGCUGCAACUGUUUAUUAAAAACACAGCACUGUGCAAACACGAAAGUGGACGUAUACGGUGUGACGCCUGCCCGGUGCCGGAAGGUUAAUUGAUGGGGUUAGCGGUAACGCGAAGCUCUUGAUCGAAGCCCCGGUAAACGGCGGCCGUAACUAUAACGGUCCUAAGGUAGCGAAAUUCCUUGUCGGGUAAGUUCCGACCUGCACGAAUGGCGUAAUGAUGGCCAGGCUGUCUCCACCCGAGACUCAGUGAAAUUGAACUCGCUGUGAAGAUGCAGUGUACCCGCGGCAAGACGGAAAGACCCCGUGAACCUUUACUAUAGCUUGACACUGAACAUUGAGCCUUGAUGUGUAGGAUAGGUGGGAGGCUUUGAAGUGUGGACGCCAGUCUGCAUGGAGCCGACCUUGAAAUACCACCCUUUAAUGUUUGAUGUUCUAACGUUGGCCCCUGAUCGGGGUUGCGGACAGUGUCUGGUGGGUAGUUUGACUGGGGCGGUCUCCUCCUAAAGAGUAACGGAGGAGCACGAAGGUUGGCUAAUCCUGGUCGGACAUCAGGAGGUUAGUGCAAUGGCAUAAGCCAGCUUGACUGCGAGCGUGACGGCGCGAGCAGGUGCGAAAGCAGGUCAUAGUGAUCCGGUGGUUCUGAAUGGAAGGGCCAUCGCUCAACGGAUAAAAGGUACUCCGGGGAUAACAGGCUGAUACCGCCCAAGAGUUCAUAUCGACGGCGGUGUUUGGCACCUCGAUGUCGGCUCAUCACAUCCCGGGGCUGAAGUAGGUCCCAAGGGUAUGGCUGUUCGCCAUUUAAAGUGGUACGCGAGCUGGGUUUAGAACGUCGUGAGACAGUUCGGUCCCUAUCUGCCGUGGGCGCUGGAGAACUGAGGGGGGCUGCUCCUAGUACGAGAGGACCGGAGUGGACGCAUCACUGGUGUUCGGGUUGUCAUGCCAAUGGCACUGCCCGGUAGCUAAAUGCGGAAGAGAUAAGUGCUGAAAGCAUCUAAGCACGAAACUUGCCCCGAGAUGAGUUCUCCCUGAGACUUUAAGUCUCCUGAAGGAACGUUGAAGACGACGACGUUGAUAGGCCGGGUGUGUAAGCGCAGCGAUGCGUUGAGCUAACCGGUACUAAUGAACCGUGAGGCUUAACCUUACAACGCCGAAGGUGUUU